rnacentral:rRNA from 1 species
AAGCUCGUAGUUGAAUUUCGGGAUUCGUCGGUUGGUCGGGCUUCACUGUCCGCACUGACCUGACGGAUUCCUACCUUCUGAAUAACCAGCAUGCUAUUAAGUUAGUGCGUUGGGGAAGCAGAGCUAUUACCUUGAAAAAAUUAGAGUGCUUAAAGCAGGCUUGUGCUUGAAUAGAUUAGCACGGAAUAAUAAAAUAGGACGGCAAUGGUUCUAUUUUAGUUUGGUUUUCUUAGGAAGUCACCGUAACUGAUUAAUAGGAUAGUUGGGU